GACGAACGCUGGCGGCGUGCCUAAUACAUGCAAGUAGAACGCUGAAGGAGGAGCUUGCUUCUCUGGAUGAGUUGCGAACGGGUGAGUAACGCGUAGGUAACCUGCCUGGUAGCGGGGGAUAACUAUUGGAAACGAUAGCUAAUACCGCAUAAUAGUAGAUGUCGCAUGACAUUUGCUUAAAAGGUGCAAUUGCAUCACUACCAGAUGGACCUGCGUUGUAUUAGCUAGUUGGUGAGGUAACGGCUCACCAAGGCAACGAUACAUAGCCGACCUGAGAGGGGGAUCGGCCACACUGGGACUGAGACACGGCCCAGACUCCUACGGGAGGCAGCAGUAGGGAAUCUUCGGCAAUGGACGGAAGUCUGACCGAGCAACGCCGCGUGAGUGAAGAAGGUUUUCGGAUCGUAAAGCUCUGUUGUAAGAGAAGAACGAGUGUGAGAGUGGAAAGUUCACACUGUGACGGUAUCGUACCAGAAAGGGACGGCUAACUACGU
rnacentral:rRNA from 1 species